rnacentral:rRNA from 1 species
AUGGCCAUGGGCUUGCCACCUCUUAGCAAGCAGUUGUUCCCCAUUGUUGCCGGCAUGGUCCUUGUAUGCAGCAUCUUCCUCAAAGCUGUGCGGCGACUCGGCUACUCUUUCUCACCCAUCCAGCUCCUCCUGCUCUCUCUGGUCCUCCUAGCCAUGGUGGCAGCCGUCGUGAACCGCACACGCGCCGUGUACCUCGUGGAUUAUGCUUGCUUCCUUCCCUGUCCCACCUGGCGUUUCCCUAACUCCACAUUGAUCGAGUACGCUCGCCUGGUACCUGCGUUCGCGGACGAUCGCACUGUCGGCUUCACCACGCGGGUGCUCGGGAGCAGCGGUCUCGGCGAUGAGACCAGCCUGCCACCCGGCGACCACUACAUCCCGCCGGACAACAACUUGGUCGUAGCCCGAGCCGAGGCGGAGCUGGUCAUCUUCUCGGCCAUCGACGACCUGUUGGCCAAGACAGGUGUCACCCCUGAUGCCGUCGGCGUCGUUGUCGUCAACUGCAGCGUCUUCGCCCCCGUGCCGUCCCUCAGCGACAUGAUCGUCAACAGAUACAAACUCCGCAGCGAUGUCCGUUGUGUAAAUCUGUCUGGGAUGGGCUGUAGCGCCGGGGUGAUCUCGGUGGGGCUUGCUGCCGGCCUACUUGGUGCAGCGCCCCAUGGUGCUGCCCAUGCUCUAGUCGUGUCCACGGAGACCAUCACGCCCAACCUGUACCUCGGCAGGGAGCGCUCCAUGCUGCUGUCCAACAUGCUCUUUCGGGUGGGCGGCGCCGCCGUGCUGCUGUCCACGUCCAAGGACAGGGCGCGGUUUCGGCUCGCCCACAUCGUGCGGACGAUCACCGGCGGCGCGCAGGACAGCUCGUACCGGUGCAUAUUCCAGGAGGAGGACGAGGAAGGAAACUUAGGGGUCAAACUUUCCAGGGACCUCAUGCGCGUCGCCGGUGACGCGCUCAAGGCCAACAUCACGGCCCUUGGCCCGCUCGUGCUCCCCUUCUUCGAGCAGCUGCGCUUCGUCGCCAACAAGCUGCUGCUCAAGCUGGGCCGGCGAGGCAGCGUGAAGGUGAAGCCUUACGUCCCCGACUUGUGCAAGGCGUUCCAUCACGUGUGCAUCCAUGCAGGGGGCCGUGCGGUCGUCGACGAGGUCCAGUCUAGCCUCGGGCUGUCGGAGGAGCACGUGGAGCCGUCUCGCAUGGCGCUUCACCGGUUCGGGAACACGUCGAGCAGCUCGGUGUGGUACGAGAUGGCGUACCUGGAGGCCAAGGGCCGGGUGCGGAAGGGCCACCGUGUGUGGAUGGUUGGCCUCGGAGCUGGGGUCAAGUGCAACAGCGCCGUCUGGGAGUGCAUCCGCCCGGCAGCCCGGCUGGACAAGGCGUGGGCGGGAUGCAUACAUCGCUACCCAAUCAACGUCCCUCAUGCCAACGUCAACAUGGUAGCUGAGAGCGAUCCCAUAAUUGCAGUGUAA